rnacentral:rRNA from 1 species
AUUCACGCUGGCGGCGUGCCUAACACAUGCAAGUCGAGCGGCAGCGAGUUUUACACUGACUUCUGGAAGCUUCUAGUUGAUAGAGAAGAUUUAUUCAAGAAUUUUGUGUAAAAUGUCGGCGAGCGGCGGACGGCUGAGUAACGCGUGGGAACGUACCCCAAAGUGAGGGAUAACGCAUCGAAAGGUGUGCUAAUACCGCAUAUGGUCUUCGGAUUAAAGCCUUCGGGCGCUUUGGGAACGGCCUGCGUAAGAUUAGAUAGUUGGUGGGGUAAUGGCCUACCAAGUCGACGAUCUUUAACUGGUUUGAGAGGAUGAUCAGUCAGACUGGAACUGAGACACGGUCCAGACUCCUACGGGAGGCAGCAGUGAGGAAUCUUCCACAAUGGGCGAAAGCCUGAUGGAGCAACGCCGCGUGCAGGAUGAAGGCCUUCGGGUUGUAAACUGCUUUUAUAAGUGAGGAUUAUGACAGUAACUUAUGAAUAAGGAUCGGCUAACUACGUG